AUCAUGAAUUCAAACCCAAGGCUGUCUAAAACUAAAUUUGUUUUCUUAAUGAUGCCUUCUUAAUGAUACUUUAGCCUGUGGGAGAGAAAAAAGUCUGAAAAGAACUGUUUGUUACCUGAGCCAAGGAAUGAGUUGACUUACAAUACCUUGCUUUUGAUGCUGCGGUACAUCAUCACUUCAACUUUCUUAACAUUAUUUCAUAAGAUCUUCCAGGAGAUUUACUAUGCAGCCCAGGUUGAGACCACUGGAGCAGAGAGGAGUCACAGGGACUGAAGAUGAACCCUGAAGGCUCAGCCAGAUUUUGAUACAUGGAAGGAGUAAAAUGGCAGUCUGGCAAGAGACUGGUAUGAGAACAAAUAAUCAUACUUGAGUAUUUCCCCACUUUGGGCUAUGAAGAGAUGGCCUGACCUAAGCUAAUGCCUCCUGCUGAAAAGGUAGAAGAUGGAGCAAGAUGCAAAGAUCCUCCACAUUCCAAUAUUCUAUCCCUGGACACAUUCUUCUCUCCCUAAGACCUGGACAACAAAGGAAGUAAGCAAUUCUUCUGUGGCAUCAAGUCUAUGAUGCUUACCUCGUUUGAGUGAUGGAAUUAUUUGGAAGCUGGGAAGUCCAAGAUCAUGGUGCUGGCCAAUU